rnacentral:rRNA from 1 species
GUGGGGAAUCUUCCGCAAUGGACGAAAGUCUGACGGAGCAACGCCGCGUGAGUGAUGAAGGUCUUCGGAUUGUAAAGCUCUGUUAAUCGGGACGAAAGAGCCUAGUGUGAAUAAUGCUAGGAAGUGACGGUACCGGAAUAGAAAGCCACGGCUAACUACGUGCCAGCAGCCGCGGUAAUACGUAGGUGGCAAGCGUUGUCCGGAAUUAUUGGGCGUAGUGCGCGCGCAGGCGGAUCUGCCAGUCUGUCUUAAAAGUUCGGGGCUUAACCCCGUGAUGGGAUGGAAACUACAGAUCUAGAGUAGCGGAGAGGAAAGUGGAAUUCCUAGUGUAGCGGUGAAAUGCGUAGAUAUUAGGAAGAACACCAGUGGCGAAGGCGACUUUCUGGACGAAAACUGACGCUGAGGCGCGAAAGCCAGGGGAGCGAACGGGAUUAGAAACCCCUGUAGUCC